UACAGAGGUCCCGAGCGCUAGGCGGAAUCACUGGGCUUAAAGCGUGUGUAGGCGGAUCGUUAAGUACCUUGUGAAAUCCCAAGGCUCAACCUUGGAACUGCCUUUGAUACUGGGGAUCUCGAGUCCGGAAGAGGUUGGUGGAACUGCGAGUGUAGAGGUGAAAUUCGUAGAUAUUCGCAAGAACACCAGUGGCGAAGGCGGCCAACUGGUCCGGUACUGACGCUGAGGUGCGAAAGCGUGGGGAGCAAACAGG
rnacentral:rRNA from 1 species